rnacentral:lncRNA from 10 species
GGCUGUUUCCAAAGAGCCCUGUAAUUGUUUUCCACCUGUGUCUCACCCAAACACCAAGGCUGGCGCAGGUGGACACCUUCCCACUUUUCUCCCUCCAGGCUGGGCCCCAGAAAUCAGUAGAGGAGGGAGGAAUCAGUCAGCGUGGCCAUGCCUGGGAGGAGAGGCCCGUGUGGGUCUGUGGGGCUAAGAGGCAAAGGCGGGUGGCGGAUGUGGGCCAGCGGGAGCCUGGAGGGGUUGACACCGCCUGCUCCACCGCAAGCCCCUGGAGGAAGAGCCCCGCUGUGCCCGAGAGCGAGCGCGGGCAGGUGUAACUACCCGGGGCUGGGGCUCCGGGGGCUCCGCGCAGCCUCCUUCCCUCCCAGGGACACCGCCCAGCUGCGCCCCGCGCCCCGCCGACUGCGCGGGCCUUGAGACGCUGGUGGCUGCCUCGGGGUUGGCCUGCUCCUCGCGCACAUGUUCAGGGUCAUCCGCGCUGCGCCUCUGCUUCAGGUGCUUGGCUAGAGAAAGGGCGGCAAGACGGGGCAGUGCGUGUGCGCGCGCGGGCAAGUGCAUGUGAGUGCACACUUAUGUGAGCGCAUGUGUGUCUGCGCUUGUGCGUGUCCAGGGGAACCACAGGGAGCACCCUCAUUCUAAGCCUCCAGAGGACUGCCUGAAGCCGCUAGAUAGAAACUCCCCUAGAAUGUAAGCUCCGGGGGGGAGGGAGCUUUGUUUGAUGGCUGCUGUAUUCCCAGUGCCCAUUGAAGUACUGGGGACACAUUAGAUGCUUAAUAAACAGCUGUUGAGUUAAUCAACGGACUCUAGGAAUGGAGGCAGACCGGCCCUUCUGGAACUGGAGAAAGGACAAGGCCACAUUUCACCGUCUCCUCUGUUCUUGGUACCAGCCCUGGCGUCCCCGGCAACGCCAAUCCUUCUCACAUCCAGCUUGUGCCAAGUUUUCCUCCCUGCUCGUGUUUACACCUUCUCCCCUUUGUCUCUGUUUCCUGCUGGCCCCUGUGUGUAAGCACCCCAGCAGUCAGAGUGAGAGGAAGACGAAAGAAGCAGAAUUCUGGAAAUAGAGAGCUACCAGGGUGGCCUCUUCCUUCUGGAAGGACACGGAAAGAUGGGGUGAGACUGGCGCUCUUCUUCAGCUCCUCCCUUUGGGAAUUGGGACUUUGAGCUUCAGUUUCCUCACUUUGAAAUAGCAGCUAUUCCACCUGCCUCGCAGGAUUGUUGCAAGAAGUCAGGCAGGAGGCUGAAAAGUUCUGGAGCACAUGAUAGGUGCUACAGAAACGUUCGUUUCGUCUCCUGACUAGCAUCCAACAGUCUGGGAGUGCCCCAGGUGUGGCUGAGGGUGGUUAUGGUUUGAUAACCACCACCAGAACACCCCUCCUUUUUUCACAAAAUGCCUUGAGGAGAAUUUAAUGGCUGUCGAAAAUUAAGGCAAGCUUCAUUUCUAAAACAUUCAGGAGUCAAUAUGUUGUGAGUCAUGUAUUCCGUCGGGGCCUCCACUCACUCCGGAGGGAGCUUUUCCAAGUAAUUAAACAACGAUGUCGUGAUCAAGCUGAAGUCCACCAGCCCCAGCCUUUCCAUUCGGGACCUUCUCCUGCACAUGCUGCAGCUGCCUCCAAGACUACUGCGAUGGAGAUGAGCAGAUUCUUCCUUCAGUUGUAGAGGGAGACACUGCGAAAACCUAAUGCUGUCAAUAACGCUUUUCAUCUCGAAAGGAAGGAUCCGAUUUCACUCUUUUCAGCCUGAUUUAAGGACCCACCAGAAAAAAACAAACUUCAUGGGGUAAUUAGGAAAUUAUCCUCUUACAAAUUGGUAGAUGUCGUCUUUUUUUCCUUGGGACAAGACAGAAAGGACAUUGUUUGUCUUUUACCAUGGUGAAGCUGCUGCGAUUAACCAUGCCACCUGGGGAAUGGUUCACUUGUGGGUAAGCUGAUAGCCUGCUGUUCCAGGGUGCGCCUGCCAAGAUCACUAUCAUUACACUCAAGAUGAAGAGGAGGGGGACGGCAAGGAAGGCAAAGUGCAGUGCUCAAACAGAAGCAUGGAGUUGGAACGAGAAGCUGAGUCCAUGAGACAGCAAAUAAGGAGUCCACGUUGGCCAAAGAACAGGGCAACACACGGGACUUUGCCAGGCAUCUUUGAGAGAGAAUGGAAUGGGAGGAAUCAAGACACUGAGGGCUAGAGACAUGACUGUACCCCUGGGAAAUGCUGCCACCCAGCACGGCACGGAAGUCAUGGAGACAUUCUUCAAGGCUGCCAUGGGCCAAAGACUCACAAAAUUCAUCAUCUCUUCCACCUCCACCUUGCUUUAAUUAGGGCUUUGCUGAAGACAACGACUUAACCUAAAGAUCGAGUCCACGGUGGGAGUACUGGGCUCCAAGUCAGGGCAGUGAAGGCGCAAGGUAGUAGACUAACACCCCUCCACCUGCACUGGCACAUCCUCCAUGCAUUUGGCAAUCUCAUCAAACACAGGGUCAAGGCAGCUGUGUUCCAGCCCUGGCUCUGCCACUUGUUUGCUGUGUAGCUUUAGACACACCACUCACCUUCUGUGAACCUUGAGUUCCUCAUGUGUGAAUCAAGAUCACGGCAUCUCCCCUGCUUACCUCACAGGGCUCCUGUGGAUGAGGCAACGUACAAAGUGCUUUGUCAACUAUAAAGCAUUGAUGAAACAUCAGGAACUGUUGUCAUCGUUCCAGGUUACACCAGAUUUGACCACCGGGAGCCCCUUUAAGCCAGUUCCUGUGUCUUGUUGACAUGUCUUCAUCAUUCUUGGAGCACUUCCUGACUUUCCAUACGACAAAAUGUCCCCGGCUCUUCUUGUACCUUCCCUGCCACACCCAUGGAAUCAGCUGUUUCUCCAAAGAGUCCUGGCUCUAAGCACUAAGUCUGCACAUUGCUAUUGAGUGUCCCUGCUCCCAGGUGCUCUCCGUGGAGAGGACACACGAACCCAAGGCCGGCCAGGAACACACAAGUUGGGCUUCUUACUUGCUGCAGGA